GUCGACAACGUGAUCAUCCCAAUCGCCACGUACACCGCCACAAAGUCCUGUUUCGAUGACUUCCCCUUCUGCUGGUUAGCACGCCCGUAAUCCGCCGAAGCUGCGUACGCUUUCAUCUUUGGUGCUGUUGAGGUUGUGUACGCUGCCCUACCUCCAACACCGUUUUUCAACGCUGCUAACCAAUUUCCCCUCUGCACCACCACAUCACAUCGUCAUUGUCAAUAACAUCACGCUACAUAUUAACAUAAAUGCAUCACACAUAUAUAACAACUUGAAGAAACAACAAAAUCUUACCAUAGGCCUGAAAACCAUGAUUUCCAAUUGUACUUGUUUCUUGCAGCUGCGAAAACUGAAAUCAGCUUGUGUUCGUUUUUUGAAUGCUGUGGUUGUUGGUUAUUCUAGUGGCGCUCUUAUAUAGUUUGGUGGAUAUGAUCGUUUGCAGAGAUAGCGAAGUGAGGCUGGGCAGAGAAAGAAUGUUCUGGAGCCACGUUGAAGGAUGUGGAAGCCACAGGGCACGUGUCGCUUUCUGCUUUUGACACGUGAGCCGCAGAAGGCUCCG
rnacentral:lncRNA from 1 species